rnacentral:rRNA from 1 species
UCGUGGUGUGAACUGUCUGCUUAAUUGCGAUAACGAGCGAGACUCCGACUGUUAAAUAGCGACCCGCUUACUUGGCGAGCACGCUUCUUAACGGGAUUCGCGACUUCAAGUCGCAAGAAAUGGAGCAAUAACA